AGUUCUGGAGUGUUGAGACACGUAAGAUUGCAAAUCUUGAGUAGUAGGGUAAUGCCUGCCGGGGCUU
rnacentral:tRNA from 1 species